UAUUGUAUAUUAGAGAAGUUCAAGAAAUGGGGAUUACAGAAUUUACAAUGGGCAAUAUUUUAAAUGAAGGGACAUAUACGGGUAGGCUAAUAAGGGCAGUAAUGAGGUUUUUAAAAAACAUUGCGGUAAUUCAUAGAAUUUAAUCUGAGUCAUGCAGACUAUCCUUGUCACACUCCAGUACAGUAGGUGGCGGUAUGCACCUUUUCAGUUGGUUUGCAACCCGCCAGUAAACCCACGAAAGAAGAAGAUUACCAUGAGGUGGGACUGACGAAGCUCCUUUUUCACAGGUUUCUUUACUGUUUUCAGGUAAGUUUAGUCCCUCAAAAUACACAAAUAGUACACAAAACUAUUAUUGACACGUAACAGAAACGCUUGUGUUGAAUAUUUACUUCAUAGAAAUGUUUUUUGUCUUAGAGAAAGUCUGAUAGCAUGUGGACGCUUUUCAGAAGUGAUAAUGUUAGGGUGACUAUAGCUUUUGCAUUGUUUAUUAAGUUUUGGCUUUUAAAAAAGCAACUUCGUGUGUUGAUGAGAUGAUGUGAAAGCUUUGUUCAGGUUGUCAAUGCAUUAUUGACAUACUUUGUUUAGCCUAAAAUAUGCAAUGUACUGCACAGUUAAACGGUGAAAAAACUUUCAUAUAGCGUGAGUAUUUGGUGAAAGUAGUACAAACACAUGUUUUAUCGUAAACAUAUAUAUACAAAAAGUUGUUAUUUUAAUUUAGGAGUGAUCAAAAUAACCUCUAUAAUAGAAGAAAAGCUGAAGAUUUCAAAAUUUUCUGAAGGGAGCCACAGACAGAGAUGUAAACUCAGGCAGGUUGAGAGCAUAUUAACUCACUUUUUUCACAACAUAUUACCAUGAAUCUUGUCAUUUUUCUGCGUUUAUAGCAAUUAUUCCAGGAAGGUUUUAACAUCCAAACAUUUUCCAUGCUGAUAUCCGUGCAGCAGAGUCGAAGCAGACCUGUCAGAAAACAUCUCUAAGCUAUGAAUCUCAUAACUAGAUACACAUCAUAAGAUAACUAGAGCUUACGGCUCUGUUUGGAUCCACCCUCACUUGUGAAGACUUCAGAUGACGUAAACACUCACAAAGACAUUAUAUGAUGGCAUCUACAGAUGGACAUACACAACUGCCAAAUGUAACAUAUUGUAAUUACUGCACCAAAGCGCAACCCUACAGAUUUUCAACCCACUUAAUAUUGUUACAAACACAAUAUAUGUUUAUAUUUGAAAAAAAUAUUCUUUAGCUAAUUUUACUGAUUUAUUUCCAUUUAUUUGUCCACAAUACUCUGCCAAAAUUAUGUUUUGCAUCAUCCAAAUAUUGUUAAUGUACAUAUUACAGACAUUGUAACAACACAAAGUGGGUUGAAAAAGUUUCUUCUUCUAAGUGCAGUAACUACGCAAACACUAAAAUCGAGAAAAAAAGUUCUUAAAGUGUUUUACAUCAGCCAGUCAAACUUGUUACUGCAAUUUUGGCAAACACAUUUCUCUGAUGGGACAAAAUUAAACCAGGAGACUUUGUCACAAGACAACAGAUCUCACAAAGCCCAUUUCAACCUUUACCUCAAUUAGGACCAAAUGCAUAGUUACUGCGCUUUGGCUUUGUUGGGCAGUAUAGUAGUAUUAUAGUAAUGCUGGAGUGAAAGCAUGGUAACCAUAUAUUUUUAAAUCAUGGUAAAGUUUGUGGUUACUAAAAUGUAGUACUAUAAACCUAUGCUGUUGUAAGAGAAUGUUUAUUCUUUAUUAUUGUUGUGAAACCAUGGUUGAUUUUAUAUUUACCAUGUGUUACUGCAAAUGAUGGUAAAAUCAUGGAUAACUUUGCAUGGGUAACGUUACAGAAAAGUGUAAACUGGUUGUUUUUAUUUGUAAGUCACGUUGGUUUUAAUGCAUCUGAUAAAUUAUGUAUAUGCAUUUGGAUAUUUAUUCUGUUUACUGACAAUAAUAAAUUUGCAGUUGCUGA